rnacentral:rRNA from 1 species
AGUGAACGCUGGCGGUAGGCCUAACACAUGCAAGUCGAACGGCAGCACAGUAAGAGCUUGCUCUUACGGGUGGCGAGUGGCGGACGGGUGAGGAAUACAUCGGAAUCUACUUUUUCGUGGGGGAUAACGUAGGGAAACUUACGCUAAUACCGCAUACGACCUACGGGUGAAAGCAGGGGAUCUUCGGACCUUGCGCGAUUGAAUGAGCCAAUGUCGGAUUAGCUAGUUGGCGGGGUAAAGACCCACCAAGGCGACGAUCCGUAGCUGGUCUGAGAGGAUGAUCAGCCACACUGGAACUGAGACACGGUCCAGACUCCUACGGGAGGCAGCAGUGGGGAAUAUUGGACAAUGGGCGCAAGCCUGAUCCAGCCAUACCGCGUGGGUGAAGAAGGCCUUCGGGUUGUAAAGCCCUUUUGUUGGGAAAGAAAAGCAGCAGGUUAAUACCCCGCUGUUCUGACGGUACCCAAAGAAUAAGCACCGGCUAACUUCGUG